GACAGAGGGUGCAAACGUUGUUCGGAAUUACUGGGCGUAAAGCGUGUGUAGGCGGCUAUGUAAGUCGGAUGUGAAAGCCCCGGGCUCAACCCGGGAAGUGCACUCGAUACUGCGUAGCUUGAGUCUCGGAGAGGUUGGUGGAAUUCUCGGUGUAGAGGUGAAAUUCGUAGAUAUUGGGAAGAACACCGGUGGCGAAGGCGGCGAGCUGGUCCAUUACUGACGCUGAGGCGCGACAGCGUGGGGAGCAAACAGG
rnacentral:rRNA from 1 species